rnacentral:rRNA from 1 species
GUAGGUGGCAAGCGUUGUCCGGAAUUAUUGGGCGUAAAGCGCGCGCAGGCGGUUCUUUAAGUCUGAUGUGAAAGCCCACGGGCUCAACCGUGGAGGGUCAUUGGAAACUGAGAACUUGAGUACAGAAGAGGAAAGCGGAAUUCCACGUGUAGCGGUGAAAUGCGUAGAGAUGUGGAGGAACACCAGUGGCGAAGGCGGCUUUCUGGUCUGUAACUGACGCUGAGGCGCGAAAGCGUGGGGAGCAAACAGGAUUAGAUACCCUGGUAGUCCACGCCGUAAACGAUGAGUGCUAAGUGUUAGGGGGUUUCCGCCCCUUAGUGCUGCAGCUAACGCAUUAAGCACUCCGCCUGGGGAGUACGGCCGCAAGGCUG